rnacentral:lncRNA from 1 species
AACCCCCGAGAGGCCUCGUCGCACCAGCAGCUCUUCCCCCAUUCCGCGUGGGGGCUAGGGUUUCCUUCGCGCUCUCCCCGCCUCGCCCCUCGCCGUCGCCGGCCAGGGGCUCCCGAUCGGGCCGGCGCCGGGGCCUCCUCGCCGCGGAGGGCGGGCUCCGGCCGGCUCGCCCUCGCGGGAUGCGGCCGGUCCCGAGGUACACAAAUGGCCUCCCUCGGCGCUGCAGUGUGAUGUUUUUUCUUUCCUUACGUUGGCCACGAAAUGUUCACACCCGUGCGCUUAUUUGUGGCUUGUUUGGUGGCGCCGCACGGUGGUUUUUGGGGGGCGUAGAUUGCGAUGAACUUUCGAGUUGGAAUGUGCGGUGUCGCUGGUGGUUUUAGGAACUUUCAUUUCUGCAAACUGAGAGAGAGGGAGCGCCGCCGCAUUAGUUCGGGAAUGUUGGUGCUCCGACGAUAUUUUAGCGGCAAUAAGCUACUCGCGAUCGGUUUUAGGUGGAUUUGUGUGACAGCCUUGUCUCUGCAGUGGCUCGUGAAGGAGUUGCUGCAACUAGUAGUACUCUGUUAUUUAAAUGCUUGUCGUUGUAUACUUGUGGUGGAUCCUGAAAGAGUUUUUCAUCAGUGCACCUGCUAUUUGCAGUCAACCCUGAUCUAUCUAGCUGCGGGUUACAAGGCCCAAUGCCAGGUGCUGUAGUAGUUGACUGGUACAAUAAGUAAUCGAUUUCCUCCAACUGAGUCUGGAGAUGUUUAGUCUGUAAUGCACUAUCAGGAGGUGGUGUGGUGUGGGUAUGUCUGUCCUGCAGAACACUACUGGAAAGUGCCUUGUUAAUCCGGUAAAACCAAGCAUGAUCAAUGUGAAUGUGAAAUCCUUGCAGUUUCUCUGCUUUGGGAGCAUGCCGCACUUUCUGCUGUGGUGAACGUUCUCUGCUUUGUUAAACUGCAGGGUGUGCAUGAGCCUACUCUUAACUUGCUGUGUUGUAUGAAUCUAAAGAAUCUAGGACACUUUGCAACAUCAUCUCACCUUAGGUUCACAUCUGACAAGUGCAGUUAACUAUAUCAACGAGGUGUUUUGCAUAUUGUUUCUUGGUGGUGGGGCUGUACCUGCUACCAUCUAGGCAAAAUAUUGCCUAUUGUCCUAUAUGAGAUAAUAUGCCAUCAUAUGGCCUUUGGUACACUUUCCUUUGAUAGUUCUAUGCAGUCUCACAACUUGAAUGAGCAAUAGCUUGGGAUGUGAUUGAAGAUGCAACUGUGAAUGGCCUUUGUUAAUGGUAAAGACUAUAAAAGCAGAUAAUGACACUUCAUAAUUUGUAACUUGAAGAGAAAAAACUAUGGGGCCUAUCGGUUUAAUAGUUAGUUUUACCUCUGUAGUCAUAAAUACAAGCGGAAUAUAUGUCAAAAUUUGUUCUCCUUUUCUCUCUUUUUUGCACUUAUGAUAAGAGGAGUAAAGUAACUAUUGGGACAUCAAUCUCGCACCAAUUGAGUGAUUUUACAUGCAUCAAUUCACUUGGCUAUUCCAAACUAGAGUAAGAAAUGUGGUAAAAAUAUAUUCCAGAAUUCACGAAGGACUGGUCGUGGCAUGUGAAAAUUAUGAUAAUAUUGUGUUGUAUCAAUAAGGUGUUGAAGUUCUUAUGUGUUGAUUGUAAUGGAAUUGGACCCUUCAAGUCAAGUGAUCAAAUGAUCAAGUCGAACUUAACCAGUAAAGUUCUGAGGCCGUGCUUUUCUCCUGGACAUUGGCUAAAUUUGAAAUCUUUAGUCGUUACACUGGUGGUUUGUAAGAGUUUUCAACAGCAGGUUACUUCCGUAAGCUUGGUAUAAAAACCUUGUCCGCAUGCUGCCCUUGUACCAGUCCAAGCUAACAUGAUGCCUUUCGGUAGAACAAAUAAAAACAUGAUUACUUUGACUUCCAGCAAAAGUGGCAUCAAGUCCAGCAGAAUUACUUUUGUGAAUUAUUUUCUACCUGCUUAAGCUUACUUGUUUAUCCACAUUAUUCCUGGAGCUGCCUGUUGCAAAUGUUAUUGCCGGUUAUGUUUUUGUACAAAAAUUGCUUGCUGCAGCCUUUUACCAGCAUCACUUCAUUAAGACAUAUCUGCUCUUUUGCAGUGUAGAGCAAUGGGGAAUGGAGCCAAGCUGCUGAUGAUGUUAGGGAAGGGCAACUCAAGCUCAUGGACCAAUGUCUUGCCGCCACAAGCCCGGCAGUUGUACAUACUGCUCUUAUUUGGGGCUUGGCAAACCUAACCUGAGGCUCCUCAGGCCAAGACCCAGCGCAGCGACUCCUCGUAAGAGGAGGCAUUCGUCUGCACGUGCCCAUCAACAACUCCUGCAACUAUUCUCCACUAACACCGAUGACCUCGUCCGGGCACUAACCUGUCCUGGAUGAGCUAUGGUGAUACCUACCUACCGAAGUACUAUUAUAGGCAUCACUAAUCUUUCUUCCUUAGUUUCCCUCCGUCUUCACUGCGGUUAUUACCACUAAUAUUAUGUAAGGUUUUAUUUUGGUUUGCUGUGAACCAAUUUGGAAAUUGGUGGAUCAUCGUGGUAGUACCAUUUCAUGUUGUUGGAUUCUAGAUGCCUGUACUGACUUUUGGCGAACGAAUGAAUGAAUGGCCAAUUAUAUGACGCCACACUUUCUGAACGUUGGUGAUUUGCUUGUGUACUGGAAUCUUGCUGAUGAUACCUUGAACUAAUGGAAGGUUAUGUUGAUGAGAGUUGAGUUGUGUUGUAGCCGCAUGAAAAGGCCUUCUGUACUGUUUUGUUUUUUGAAAAAGUAUGUGGAUUUAUUAUAAAGGUUCAA